rnacentral:lncRNA from 1 species
UGGUAGGCAGAUCCAGUUAGAUUUAAAAAAGCAGUAUUUUAUGCAUGCAUACUGCUGUAGAGCAUACUGUACAGCUCAGAAAAAGAGGACUACCCAAGGAAAUGCAAAAAGUAAUCAAAUAUAUAGACAAAUGCAUGGAUAUAAGAAAGAAUUUAUACUAAAUAUAAAAAAUAAAGUAGAGAAAAGUAUCAAUACAAACAACAACCUGCAACAAAGACAAAUAGCCCAGCAGCAAGAAAUGCACAAGAAAAUAAAGAAUAUAAAGAAUACAUAAAAGUUCCAUUUUGGCUAUCUAAAUACCCUGUAGUAAAACAAACCCUAAAAUUAAGAGGAAAAAGGAUAGCCAUCGAAAGAGCAGCAACUAACAUUAACAUAAUCAUAUAUACAUAACCCAUUGCUUCUUAAAUGUCCAAC